rnacentral:lncRNA from 1 species
CACAAGGCUGUUUCCUGCACUGGUCAGGGAUGAGGUCCUGGAGUCCAGUGCAGGGGAAGUGUGCUAUGGGGAAGGGCUGUAGGUGGUGGGGACAGCCUUGCUGCUCCCUCCUGGGGCACCCUCACUGGUCCCUGACGAUGCCACCUCCUACCUGUCCCCCAUGUACCUCUCCUCUAUGUUUUCCUCUGGUCCAGGCACAAACUCUUCUCAGUGUGCCACAGCAGGCUUGAAUGGGUCCAAGGAACAUGUUCUUGAAACAAAGGAAAAAACAGGCCAGAAACACUAACUCAGGGUUGCAGUCAGGUUUAAAUGAGCUUAUGCACUGGGCUCAUUGAGUACAGUCCCUGGCACCGAGUUGGUUCUGCAAUCACUGUUUUCUAUGGGUUCCCUCUGUGGGCUAAGCCUGUGAGAGAUGUGGCUGUGUCUGCCUGGCAAACCUUUGGCUUCUGUUCCCCACAGAGCCAGGCACACAGCAGGUGCUCAGGAGGACACGUUGUUAGUCUACGAGUCUCCACUGAUUUCUAUGAGUCUACGAGUCUCCACUGAUUUCACAGUGGAGAGGCCAAGCA